UGGCCAGAUGAGAACCGGGAAUACUGCCUCUGGCAAUAGAAGUAGGUAGGUUGGGAAUGUUCUAGAUGAAGAAGAGGGUGUAUGUGCUGUCUGGGGUUUAAAGGGGAGGUGCGGCCAGACGAGAACCGGGAAUACUGCCUCUGGCAAUAGAAGUAGGUAGGUUGGGAAUGUUCUAGAUGAAGAAGAGGGUGUAUGUCCACUGUUUCUGUUUUAACAACUAACACUGCGUUUCUAUUCCUUCGUCCCCAGCCGAUGACAUCAAGCCGUGUCCGCGCUGCGCGGCUUACAUCAUCAAGAUGAACGACGGCAGCUGCAACCACAUGACCUGCGCCGUGUGCGGCUGUGAGUUCUGCUGGCUCUGCAUGAAGGAGAUCUCUGACCUGCACUACCUGAGCCCGUCAGGAUGUACCUUCUGGGGCAGGAAGCCGUGGAGCAGGAAGAAGAAGAUCCUGUGGCAGCUGGGCACGCUGGUGGGCGCUCCGGUGGGCAUCGCUCUGAUCGCUGGCAUCGCCGUCCCCGCCAUGAUCAUAGGCAUCCCUGUGUACGUGGGGAGGAAGAUCUAUAACCGCUAUGAGGGGAAGGACAUCUCUCCCCACAGGAGGAACCUGGUGAUAGCAGGAGGAGUCACUCUGUCUGUCAUCAUGUCCCCUGUGGUGGCAGCCGUCUCUGUCGGUCAGUAUACUGUACUCUGUCUGUCAUCAUGUCCCCUGUCUGUCAUCAUGUCCCCUGCGGUCAGCAUACUGUACUCUGUCUGUCAUCAUGUCCCCUGGGGUCAGUAUACUGUCCCCUGUCUGUCAUCAUGUCCCCUGUGGUCAGUAUACUGUACUCUGUCUGUCAUCAUGUCCCCUGUGGUCAGUAUACUGUCUGUCAUCAUGUCCCCUGGGGUCAGUAUACUGUACUCUGCCUGUCAUCAUGUCCCCUGUGGUCAGUAUACUGUACUCUGU